UCUGUCCGCCGUGGGGCGGGAGCGGCGCUGCCCCGGGCGCCGGGCGCCCCCUGCCGGCCGGGCGCUGCCCGAGCCCCGCGCCGUGCGGGCGCCGAGCGGCGCUCUGUGCCGCGUCCCCCUCCUCUUCUUCUCCUCUUUAGUCUUUAUUUUUUUUUUGCACAUUGUAUUCCCUCUCUCUCUUUUUUUUUUCUCUUUUACCGUGGAACGCGGUGCCUCCUCUCUGCAGCCCCGUCUCCGGUGCCCGCGCAGGGCUCGCACCGAGCGGCUCUCCCUUACAUGCUCAAUCCACACAGAGAGAAGCAGAAGUUUUAACCCUCUUCCCGUGGCUGUGUUGAGGAGCAUACAGCCAAGAGAGGAAGCAGUGAGGUCCGUGAUGAGGAAAAUGAAUCCAGCAGCCCACCCCAUCCUCUACCCACCUGAGUACAGGAAGACACCUCAUACAAAGCCAGAAUGCAUCUGGCCUUACACCUCUUUUUAGCUGUAUUAAGUCCUAGUCAGAGUUGAUGAUGAGCUCAGUGAGACUGGGCUAAGCAGCGCUGAAGAGGGGAAAAUCAGAGCUGGAUACCAGGAGAUAUUUCAAAGCAGGAUUCUCCUUUCCAUAACACCCGAACAUGAACACUUUAUAAACGUGAUUAGAUCCUGCCAUCAAUGAGUGAGCCUCCCUGAAAUCUUGUUAUCAGUUACUGCCAAGAUGAGAAGGAUAACAGGAAGGAGGAAUGCGUAAAUGGUUGUAAUGACAGUUAAUUUCAUCUAUUUAUCAAAUGAUAAGUUGUUUUUUCCUCAAGACUUGAUUGUCAUGACAAGACGCUUUUGGAAGUCAUCUAUGUAAAAUAAAACUGACAAUUCUUAGGCUACAAGGAGCUAUUGUGUCUUUCUGUACAGUGUUGUCAUUAUGGUAAACCGCUGGAAAGUCUUUAUUUUUUGAAGUAAUUUAACUUGCAUACUUCAUUCAUUUAUUUGAAUGUCUGUUGAAUGCCAUGUGAAAAGUUUCUUGCCAGAGUUCUUUUAUUCAACGGAAUAGUUAUUCUUACAAUGCUCAAUUUAUUAUUGUCUAAAUUACUGUUGCCUUAGCCUCCUGAAAAAAAAAUGUUUCUUUUUAGUAAUUCUUAAACAAAUAAGGAAUGAAUGAGGUUUUGUCCCCUUCAUAUUUUGGUCGGCAUACUUUUCCUUUCAGUGAAAGCAUCUUCAGUUUUCAGAAUGGCACUGCUACAAAGAGAGGUGCUUUCUUUUCUUUUUUUUUUUUUUUUUUUUUUCUUUCCCCAACAGAAAAUCUCUUUUGUGAAGUGAUUUUUUUAAUAUGUACACUGCCAGGAUGCAGUUACUGGAAGGAGACACAGAAGCUGUUGGGAAUGUCACGUUAUGCCAAAUUAAGAAUUAUUAGCUCUUACUUUCUCUGCAAUCUCUUCGACUAGAACUCAGCCUUUUGCGUCUGGCUUAUACUUCAACUCUAGUGGAACUAAUGUAUCCUCAGAGUAGCAUUUUAAACUUCGGAUUAAUGUGUUUUUAUUUUUUUCAGAAGUCUGCUUUAAAUUGCUGGGAUUAACUUCAGAGAAGGCAAGAGGUACAGCUUCCUUUGUCAGCAGCUGUGCUGGUUAACAGAGGAGGCUUCAUGCAUGCUUGCUUGUUUACACUCUCUCCCAGAAGUUAUUGCCACUACUAGGGAAUCAAACUGAACUGUUUCCUGGAGCACACCCAGUCCUACUUCAGGCAAAGUUAAUUGUGUUAUCAAAUAUUAGGUAACUAGCAUCUUGGGUCAUUUUAUUGAAAGGGCAGUGUGUUGACAAGAGAUGCGUUGAGGAGGUGCUGGUGGUGUAGUCUUUUCAGCAGGUGCAGUUGUGUCUCUAAGAUGUAAAAAUUGGACGUGUCAGAAAGCUGUGCGGUUCUGUCAUAUGUAAUAUUCACGUUUCGGGAGUGUACUGGAUGUUAUAAAAUAAACCUGUGCUCUUUGAUGUACUCCUUGUGCAUGCCGGUGUAAGCGGAGAGAGAUGGUGUGAGUGUAUGUAGGUUACGGGACACCUCUUUCAGGGAAAUUUAUCUGUUCAAGGUGCGUGAAUGGUACUGAUGUUUCCAUUAUCUAGAGAACACGCUUGUGCUUCAGUCGUCAAAGAGGCUGCCCCAACCAACAUGUGCCUCAGGAGAAGUGUUUUUGACACACGGUGCCCUGAGCUGCCUUUAGAGCAGAGGGGAGAACACCCCCAACAGCAGAGGCCACUCCAUCCACUUCUACUUCUCUGUCUGAUACUGCAUCGGUAGAUGCUGUAGUUUGAGGCAUUCAACCUCUUGAUAUUCCCUGCGUCAGAAUUAGAAUGGUACACGUGAUCUCUAGGACUGGAAGGAAUGCUUGGUGAAAAGAGUGCCGCAAACAACUCUUUCAGUGCUUGACCCUUCUUGUGAGAAGGCUGGGGAGUGUAGGUGCUGUCUCACAGACUCUUCGGGAGUACAAAGAACAAAAGGCUUUCUGAUCAGUCAGAAACCUGAGAACAGCAAUGCUCCUUGAGUCUCCUCUUGAGGCACUGCUAGAUAAAAAGAACUCCGUUCAGUCACAGAAAGGACUGAACCCACAGCUCAGUUACCGUGGCAUCCAGCCUCUUGUAACAGACCCCGUGUUAAAGAAUACGGAGCUAUGCACUGGCCUCUCACACGUGCCAUAUGUAAGGGAGGAAAAUAACGUACUACAUCUGGAAAGGAACUGGUGUGCAGGGGAAGGUGGUGCUUUGUAGGUAAAGAACCACCUUCCCUACCAUAUCACAGUGCCUUUAGACCAGAGCCCCUGCAGUUCCCUGAGCUGUGGGUCUGGACAAUAGUGUCAUGAAGAGAUGAGGCCUGCCAAAUCUUAAGACUAAGGCUUACAAAGAGAUCUGGGAACAUGCGCAAACUUAAAAGUUGCUAAUAUAUGUAAAAAAGAAGAGAUGAUAUGACAGGGUAUGAUACGUAUUGCUUUCCUGCCAAGUUUGGAGUUAACUUGGCUGUGAACUGCUAUAUGUUGAGAAAAUGUUGGGCUCCUCAGUCACACUCUUACCCUUGUUAGUCCAUACUUGCCAUGUAGUGCUUGGUGCCUGUAUAGUUCAAGGAGGCAAAGUGCCAACCACGUAAUUUCCAAAAUCACCAACUUUCCCCGAUCCAGUCUCUGCAGCUCUGCAGUGAAGGUGGGUGCGGCUCCAGGUGCAUGAGCUCUGCUGGCAGCCUGGGGUCAAGCCAGAGCUGAGCUCCCGGCAUCUCUGCUGGGUUCAGAAGUGAUGUACCUCCUCUAAAGGACUGUCUGUUGUCUUCCCCAACAGUGAACUAAGGGGAAACGACCUUCCACAUCUCUUUGAGACAUAAUUCAUGCCAUUUUUUAAUCAGAAUUUUUCAUCAGGUUCUGUUGUAGUACUGAGGUUAAAAUAUUUAAUGAAAUGCUUGUGAUUGCAUAAUAAUAUUUUGCCUGCUUAAGUGGUAAUACAUAGUUAAACCAGUAUUGCAAACUAACAUAUGUCUUAUGUAGACCACUGUCACGAUAUGUUGUGGCGAUGAGUAAGAUGCUACAUCCAAGCACUUAAAAUUAUCAAGAAUUAUAGUUAGGGCUGUCAUACCAUUUAUGUAGCACUAAAAGGAAAACAAAAGACAAUUUCAGAGCAGAGCGAGUUUGGUUUUUUUCUCACAAAUACUUAAAAUAAAAUGUUGGUUUCAACUAGACUUGCUGGCUCUUUGCUGAUUGCUGUAUUCAGUGUGAAUCUGCCAGGGUCCCACGCAUAAUCAGAUGUUUAUUAUUGUAAACACAAUUUCUUUGUAUGUUCCCCACAAAUGCAUUGGACAAAACAUAGUUUGCCUUCUUAGCUGAUACUAUACAGUUACUUUCUAAUUCCUUUAACUUCAGUUCAAAUGUGGUUGAGUAAAAUGUGCAUUCCUGAGAAUAAUCUUUACAUCUGUAAUGUGACGGUUGAUUUUACAUGACUUGUUUCAUACUCCAGACUUAGCAAGACGUUUUUAAGGCAGUAUGCAGGAUGUAAAGAUAAAAAUCGGUUAAUGACAAACUGUAAGGUGCAAACUUUUAAUAAAAGCAAGGAAUCAGUAGAAAUUACUAGAAAGGGAAUAGCAGCUUUUUCUACCGUUUGAAUUAAGAUGAAAUGUUUUUGUAGAGGUAUAUGCUUGAACAAACGGCUGGGUGGGGUAGAGGAAUUCCUCGCGGGCUUCUGUGGCUUUUGCUACACCUGGGGCCAGACUGCGUAAUCUUAAAGGUCCUUUUGGCUUGGAAGGGUAGCAGGCAUCUCGGUGUAACAAAUACCUUCUCCGCAUUGCAGUAACUGAAAAGUUAUUCAAAGUUACGUACACUUUGCUUUAAAAAACGAUCCAGGGAGUUGGGGAGGGGGCAUUGCUUAACAACUAAUUUGGCAGAGUUCCUGUCUCUUAAUAUCGUGCCUUUUUCAAAGAUCCUCUUUCACCUGAAUGCUUGGUCUACAGUGUUAGUUCCAUUGGCUCUAGGUGGGUUUCUUCCGUUCAUCCAUCCCCGCACCCACCAGAUGAAUCAAACUCCACGUGUACAUUUUUUUUCAAAGCAGAUAUCUCCCACCAAGUGUAUACUUCUACAAAGUGCCGUGUUGCCUUGCUGCUAGAAAUAAUUAUGAGUUUUAAAAUAAUCUGACAGCAUCCUGCUGUGUAUAAAUUAGUUUUUUUCUCCACUAAGAUUAGUUAGCUGACACCCAUUCACUAGCACGUUACAAAAAAUGGUCGUAAGUUGAUCACAUCUGGUUAUCUGCCUUUUUACUUUUUAAUGGGCUUUUUGUUGCUGUGCUGUCACCAAGGCUGAAAUAAAUGUGUGCAUAUUGUACACUUCCAAGUUCUUCGCAGCCUGGGGAGGUGAUGUCGCCUCUCCUGUACUGUGAAAAGACUUGGGGGCAUAAGCCUUUGGAGAAGGGGAGAGGUUGUCUGCACUUGGAUCCUGAAUCUUAGGCACUUUUGGUUUUGGCUGUGAUGUUUUCUGCUCUAUGGCAAGCGAUAUGUUACCACUGAAGUCCAAAAUGCCAGGUAUAAUUAGCUCAUGUGUUUGAAUAGGUGUUGUUAUUUUUUUAACUUGUACGUACUAGCCUGUUUUCAUGCAGAGGUACCUGUUUUACCUGGAAAGAAUGCUGUGUGAAUCAGAAAAAGCAGAGAAAAUAUUUAAAGUUAUGUGCUAGUCUUUAAGAUUUUAAAAAUAACCAUGAGAUCUUUAUUUCUUUGUUAGAGUUUUAACAGCUUAAUGCUGACUAUAAAUGCUUUACAGUCAGUCACUGAGAAUUAUGGGCUUGGCAUGACUCACGUUUUUGUUCUUCACUAUAUCCAUUACUGUUAGAUGCUGAGUAGUCAGUGCACAUAGAUGACUGAUUUUUUGGAGUAUCUUACAUUUUUACAUGUUCAGAAAAAUACUUCGUUAAAGCAGCAGCUGGGUGAACGGGGUAAUUAAAGAAGUGGCCCACUUUUAUUGAAGUUGACACAUGCUGCACGUUCCUUAAAACUCAGUAUGUGAGCAGAACGUUUCCAGGAUUUAUUAAAGACAGAUACCUAGAGAUACUGGCGAGCUUUUAAUAGCACUAAAGAUAACUUCAAGUUUUACACUGUUAUAUAAAACUGUCUUUAAGAAGAGAGCUAUUAUUGCAAUAUAUUGCUCAUGUUCUUCAUAUUUUCUGUGUGUGUAUGUUUUAUGUAUGCACACACACACCUGCACACAAAUCCCUAAGACCUGAGGACUUCUAUUUGGCCGUGAUUGUAUAUCCUAUUUAGUAUUUAUUUGGAAAAAAAUAAUGUUAUAAUGCUGACUGAGAAUCUCAAUUUGCUUUUUGCCAAAAGAAAUCUGCAGUUUAUUGAUUUUUUUUUUUAAACUGUUUUUUUUUUAGAUGAAACGCAAUUCUGCUUAGUUGGAAUUGCGGCUCUUAGUGUGCGAGUGUCUUGGCGUAGCAAGCAAGGAAUCGAUGUAAAACUAAAGUGAUGAGUCCAGUGUUCCACGUGUGUAAUGCUUUGCAAGUUGGGAAAGAAUAGACAUACUUGGAUCACACAGUGACCAAACACAUUAUAAACCAAUGUCCUCAAAAAAUCUGUUAAACCGAUAUAAUUAACACAAUUGUAAUGUUUAGUGCUGUGAUCUUCUCUUUCUUUCCCUCCUUGUCCUGGUGUAUUGGAACCUUUUUAUGUCCACUCGAGCAGGUUCGGUUAGUCUGCCUUUCCUGCGAAGAGUCUGUGUCUUUAAAGCAUCUUUGCUAUUCCUUUUUUUAAAGUUAUAAUUAUGCAUUUCAGGCAGAGUUAACAAACGUGCAAGUUUCAAGAUCAGAACAUUUUUUU